rnacentral:rRNA from 1 species
GUAGGGAAUAUUGGACAAUGGGCGAAAGCCUGAUCCAGCCAUGCCGCGUGAUAGAUGAAGGCCCUCUGGGUUGUAAAUAUCUUUUAUCUGGGAAGAAACUCCUCUAUUCUUAGAGGCCUGACGGUACCAGAGGAAUAAGCACCGGCUAACUCCGUGCCAGCAGCCGCGGUAAUACGGAGGGUGCAAGCGUUAUCCGGAUUCACUGGGUUUAAAGGGUGCGUAGGCGGGUUGAUAAGUCAGUGGUGAAAGCUCCGGGCUUAACUUGGAAACUGCCAUUGAUACUGUCAGUCUUGAAUGUCGUAGAGGUAAGCGGAAUGUUGCAUGUAGCGGUGAAAUGCUUAGAUAUGUUACAGAACACCAAUUGCGAAGGCAGCUUACUAUGCGAUAAUUGACGCUGAGGCACGAAAGCGUGGGGAGCAAACAGGAUUAGAAACCCUUGUAGUCC